GCUCAGGACGAACGCUGGCGGCGUGCUUAAUACAUGCAAGUCGAACGCUUCUUUUUCCACCGGAGCUUGCUCCACCGGAAAAAGAGGAGUGGCGAACGGGUGAGUAACACGUGGGUAACCUGCCCAUCAGAAGGGGAUAACACUUGGAAACAGGUGCUAAUACCGUAUAACAAUCGAAAACCGCAUGGUUUUGAUUUGAAAGGCGCUUUCGGGUGUCGCUGAUGGAUGGACCCGCGGUGCAUUAGCUAGUUGGUGAGGUAACGGCUCACCAAGGCCACGAUGCAUAGCCGACCUGAGAGGGUGAUCGGCCACAUUGGGACUGAGACACGGCCCAAACUCCUACGGGAGGCAGCAGUAGGGAAUCUUCGGCAAUGGACGAAAGUCUGACCGAGCAACGCCGCGUGAGUGAAGAAGGUUUUCGGAUCGUAAAACUCUGUUGUUAGAGAAGAACAAGGAUGAGAGUAACUGUUCAUCCCUUGACGGUAUCUAACCAGAAAGCCACGGCUAACUACGUGCCAGCAGCCGCGGUAAUACGUAGGUGGCAAGCGUUGUCCGGAUUUAUUGGGCGUAAAGCGAGCGCAGGCGGUUUCUUAAGUCUGAUGUGAAAGCCCCCGGCUCAACCGGGGAGGGUCAUUGGAAACUGGGAGACUUGAGUGCAGAAGAGGAGAGUGGAAUUCCAUGUGUAGCGGUGAAAUGCGUAGAUAUAUGGAGGAACACCAGUGGCGAAGGCGGCUCUCUGGUCUGUAACUGACGCUGAGGCUCGAAAGCGUGGGGAGCAAACAGGAUUAGAUACCCUGGUAGUCCACGCCGUAAACGAUGAGUGCUAAGUGUUGGAGGGUUUCCGCCCUUCAGUGCUGCAGCUAACGCAUUAAGCACUCCGCCUGGGGAGUACGACCGCAAGGUUGAAACUCAAAGGAAUUGACGGGGGCCCGCACAAGCGGUGGAGCAUGUGGUUUAAUUCGAAGCAACGCGAAGAACCUUACCAGGUCUUGACAUCCUUUGACCACUCUAGAGAUAGAGCUUCCCCUUCGGGGGCAAAGUGACAGGUGGUGCAUGGUUGUCGUCAGCUCGUGUCGUGAGAUGUUGGGUUAAGUCCCGCAACGAGCGCAACCCUUAUUGUUAGUUGCCAUCAUUCAGUUGGGCACUCUAGCAAGACUGCCGGUGACAAACCGGAGGAAGGGUGGGGGAUGACGUCAAAUCAUCAUGCCCCUUAUGACCUGGGCUACACACGUGCUACAAUGGGAAGUACAACGAGUCGCGAAGUCGCGAGGCUAAGCUAAUCUCUUAAAGCUUCUCUCAGUUCGGAUUGCACGCUGCAACUCGCCUGCAUGAAGCCGGAAUCGCUAGUAAUCGCGGAUCAGCACGCCGCGGUG
rnacentral:rRNA from 1 species